CUUCAGUGAUGACUAUCAGAGUCUGAGUGAACCUGCUGUCAGACAGGCCAGAAGAGAAGGCCCUGCUCACCCUUGACGGCCCACCGCAGCUGUCAGACAACAUCUCCAAGAUGCUAUAAACUGCAGGACUAGAUGGCCAUCCCAAGGUUUUUAGAGAUUACACCAGCUCCAGACUGAAUCCAAACUUACGUGAAGACUACAGACAACAACUGUACAUGAACACACAAAACAAAUAUUAUCCUUAUUUUGCCUAUAAGGGUAAAUUUUAUGAUUUUCAACCUGCUUUAUUGUAACGUCUCUUAUAUCUGUAAAUGAACAAUAUUUACUCUCUGAGUUAUGUGGACCUACAUGUCCCCUUUUAUUUGUAAGCAGCACUCUGCAGGAUGAUGCAAAAUGAAAUGACGAGUUUUGACGAAAUGACACAAUGCAGUAUCUAAAUGAAAACAUGCUGUUUUGUAUCAGUUUUGCAAAUAAACGGUAUCUUGGAGAAAGAAUAAACAUUGUUCUUUUACAAAUGUUACCAACAAUAUAACAAUACAAAAUGGAUUGAAUUUUUUUUA